UACAGAGGUCUCAAGCGUUGUUCGGAUUCAUUGGGCGUAAAGGGUGUGUAGGUGGCGCCGUAAGUGGGGUGUGAAAUCUCGGGGCUUAACUCCGAAACUGCAUUCCAUACUGCGGUGCUUGAGGACUGGAGAGGAGACUGGAAUUCAUGGUGUAGCAGUGAAAUGCGCAGAUAUCGGGAAGAACACCCGUGGCUAAGGCGGCUCUCUAGUACGGUACUGACGCUGAGACGCGAAAGCGUGGGGAGCGAACAGG
rnacentral:rRNA from 1 species